rnacentral:rRNA from 1 species
CCUACGGGAGGCAGCAGUGGGGAAUAUUGGACAAUGGGGGCAACCCUGAUCCAGCCAUGCCGCGUGUGUGAAGAAGGCCCUCGGGUUGUAAAGCACUUUCAGUGAGGAAGAACGCCUGGUGGUUAAUACCCAUCAGGAAAGACAUCACUCACAGAAGAAGCACCGGCUAACUCCGUGCCAGCAGCCGCGGUAAUACGGAGGGUGCGAGCGUUAAUCGGAAUUACUGGGCGUAAAGCGCGCGUAGGUGGCUUGAUAAGCCGGUUGUGAAAGCCCCGGGCUCAACCUGGGAACGGCAUCCGGAACUGUCAAGCUAGAGUGCAGGAGAGGAAGGUAGAAUUCCCGGUGUAGCGGUGAAAUGCGUAGAGAUCGGGAGGAAUACCAGUGGCGAAGGCGGCCUUCUGGACUGACACUGACACUGAGGUGCGAAAGCGUGGGUAGCAAACAGGAUUAGAUACUCUGGUAGUC